rnacentral:rRNA from 1 species
UACUCCUACGGGAGGCAGCAGUGAGGAAUAUUGGUCAAUGGACGGAAGUCUGAACCAGCCAAGUAGCGUGCAGGAUGACGGCCCUAUGGGUUGUAAACUGCUUUUAUGUGGGAAUAAAGUCAGGGACGUGUCCCUGUUUGCAUGUACCACAGGAAUAAGGACCGGCUAAUUCCGUGCCAGCAGCCGCGGUAAU